GACGAACGCUGGCGGCGUGCUUAACACAUGCAAGUCGAACGCUGAACCCGCUUCGGUGGGGGAUGAGUGGCGAACGGGUGAGUAACACGUGGGCAACCUGCCCCCGGCUCUGGGAUAACUCCAAGAAAUUGGGGCUAAUACCGGAUGUGACCGCUGGCCGCAUGGUCUGGUGGUGGAAAGGGUUUCCGGCUGGGGAUGGGCCCGCGGCCUAUCAGCUUGUUGGUGGGGUAGUGGCCUACCAAGGCGACGACGGGUAGCCGGCCUGAGAGGGUGACCGGCCACACUGGGACUGAGAGAGGGCCCAGACUCCUACGGGAGGCAGCAGUGGGGAAUAUUGCGCAAUGGGCGGAAGCCUGACGCAGCGACGCCGCGUGGGGGAUGACGGCCUUCGGGUUGUAAACCUCUUUCAGCAGGGACGAAGCGCAAGUGACGGUACCUGCAGAAGAAGCACCGGCCAACUACGUG
rnacentral:rRNA from 1 species